AUUGAACGCUGGCGGCAUGCUUUACACAUGCAAGUCGAACGGCAGCGCGGGCUUCGGCCUGGCGGCGAGUGGCGAACGGGUGAGUAAUGCAUCGGAACGUGCCCAGUAGUGGGGGAUAGCCCGGCGAAAGCCGGAUUAAUACCGCAUACGACCUGAGGGUGAAAGCGGGGGACCGAAAGGCCUCGCGCUUUUUGAGCGGCCGAUGUCGGAUUAGCUAGUUGGUUGGGUAAAGGCUUACCAAGGCGACGAUCCGUAGCUGGUCUGAGAGGACGACCAGCCACACUGGGACUGAGACACGGCCCAGACUCCUACGGGAGGCAGCAGUGGGGAAUUUUGGACAAUGGGGGCAACCCUGAUCCAGCCAUGCCGCGUGCGGGAAGAAGGCCUUCGGGUUGUAAACCGCUUUUGUUCGGGAAGAAAUCCUCUGGGCUAAUACCCCGGGGGGAUGACGGUACCGGAAGAAUAAGCACCGGCUAACUACGUG
rnacentral:rRNA from 1 species